rnacentral:tRNA from 1 species
GGGGUUGUAGCUCAAUUGGGAGAGCGGUUGUUUUGCAUGUAAAAGGUUGCAGGUUCAAGUCCUGUCAACUCCA